GAUACGUUUUAAUGUUGUUAUCACAUAUCCUUUGGUAGGGGACGAGCUUGUACCUUCCUUGUUUGUUCAGAUUUCUCUGGAAAGAACCGACGAAUAUUCGUACAGUAUGGGAGGGGUACCGACUAAACAGCAUAGGGAUAUG